rnacentral:tRNA from 1 species
GGGGUAGUAGCUCAGUUGGCAGAGCAGCUUCGAUGAGAUGGUCCCUUCCAAUCUCAAUGAAGCGGUCACGGGUUCAAAUCCCGUCUACCCCA